GCAUUCGAGCACGCAGGGCCCCAGCGGCACUAAGCCUCAGGGCCCGCCCGAGCAGCUCGCCCUCCAACUGGCCACAGGCUGCGCUGGCCCGCGGAGAUGCGGAGCUAGGAGGACGCGGCAAGUGGCCGCGUCCCGGCGCCGACAUUUUCCGCAUCAUUAUGGUUUUACCGCAAGAAGCAGCUCUACCUUGCUUUAGUGGAUAAUGGAAGUCUCAGAGUGGAUUUAGACACGAACCCAGAAAAAGCGCAGCACAGAGCUACUGUGGUGAAAAGAGUGCAUUACAUGUGAGGGACUCACUCUCUUAGUUGUGUAAGGCCCUUAAUUCAAAUUGCUAGGAGAUAAUCACUCUGAAUAUUACCUUCUAAAUCCUAAUGAUAUUGCAUAUAUAACCGGAUCUGGGUGGACGUGGCUUCCUUUCCUGCACAAUGUCUAACAAAACAGCUUUCAGCAUGGACACAAUAACUUUCCUCAGACUUAUGGAAGCUCAGGAUGACACACUGCCCCUCCAUGGCCUUCGCAGCGAUCCGUGAAACUCUGCUAUCUGCUCGUGCGCUGUGUGGGGCGCAGGGCCACCUUGCCAGUGACGCCGAGACAGUGCCACAAGUGACCUGUCAGCUUUGACCCAUAAUUCCAUUUUGUAGAACAGUGUCUCAGAAAUACUUUCUCAUAUGUACAAAAAGAUGUAAAAUUAUGAUCAUUGAAAAAUUUAUUAAAAAAUUAUCAAUGGAAAACUAUGUACCAUUGGGGAAUGGUUAAAUGAUGGCACAUCACACUCUAAGAUGCUGUGAGAUGACUAAAAUGAAUAGUACAUCCACAUGCAAGGAGUUUGGAAAGUCC